UACAGGGGGUGCAACCGUUGCUCGGAAUCAUUGGGCGUAAAGCGCACGUAGGCGGUUCGUUAUGUCGGAUGUGAAAGCCCUUGGCUUAACCGAGGAAGUGCAUCCGAAACUGGCGAGCUAGAGUACUAAAGAGGAUCGCGGAAUUCCCGGUGUAGAGGUGAAAUUCGUAGAUAUCGGGAGGAACACCAGUGGCGAAGGCGGCGAUCUGGGUAGAUACUGACGCUGAGGUGCGAAAGCGUGGGGAGCAAACAGG
rnacentral:rRNA from 1 species